CGUUGAAACACUGGUUCUCGUACGAUCACCGAAGUUAAGCAACGUCGAGCCAGGUCAUUACCGAAAUGGGUGACCGCUUGGAAAUACCAGAUGCGGUAA
rnacentral:rRNA from 1 species